rnacentral:lncRNA from 10 species
GCUGGGAUUACAGGCGGACUUAACCAAACACAACUACGUAAAAUCCUAGCAUACUCCUCAAUCACCCAUAUAGGCUGAAUAAUAGCAGUACAAAUAUAUAACUGAAAUAUCACCAUCUUUAACCUAAUUAUUUAUUUUAUCCUAACAACUACUGCAUUCCUGGCACUCAACCUGGAUUCAAGCACCAAAACCCUAUUACUAUCCCAUGCCUGAAACAAAUGAACAUGACUAACAUCCCUAAUCUUAUCAAUUUUAUUAUCCCUAGGUAGCCUACCCCCAUUAACAGUCUUCCUGCCUAAAUGAAUUAUUAUCCAAGAAUUUCCAAAAAAUAAUAACCUUAUCAUUCCAACCGUCAUAACUAUCAUAACUCUACUCAACCUAU